CGAAACCAGGUGAUCUACCCUUGGUCAGGUUGAAGUUCAGGUAACACUGAAUGGAGGACCGAACCGACUUACGUUGAAAAGUGAGCGGAUGAACUGAGGGUAGCGGAGAAAUUCCAAUCGAACCUGGAGAUAGCUGGUUCUCUCCGAAAUAGCUUUAGGGCUAGCCUCAAGUGAUGAUUAUUGGAGGUAGAGCACUGUUUGGACGAGGGGCCCCUCUCGGGUUACCGAAUUCAGACAAACUCCGAAUGCCAAUUAAUUUAACUUGGGAGUCAGAACAUGGGUGAUAAGGUCCGUGUUCGAAAGGGAAACAGCCCAGACCACCAGCUAAGGUCCCAAAAUAUAUGUUAAGUGGAAAAGGAUGUGGCGUUGCCCAGACAACUAGGAUGUUGGCUUAGAAGCAGCCAUCAUUUAAAGAGUGCGUAAUAGCUCACUAGUCGAGUGACACUGCGCCGAAAAUGUACCGGGGCUAAACAUAUUACCGAAGCUGUGGAUUGUCCUUUGGACAAUGGUAGGAGAGCGUUCUAAGGGCGUUGAAGCAUGAUCGUAAGGACAUGUGGAGCGCUUAGAAGUGAGAAUGCCGGUGUGAGUAGCGAAAGACGGGUGAGAAUCCCGUCCACCGAUUGACUAAGGUUUCCAGAGGAAGGCUCGUCCGCUCUGGGUUAGUCGGGUCCUAAGCUGAGGCCGACAGGCGUAGGCGAUGGAUAACAGGUUGAUAUUCCUGUACCACCUAUAAUCGUUUUAAUCGAUGGGGGGACGCAGUAGGAUAGGCGAAGCGUGCGAUUGGAUUGCACGUCUAAGCAGUAAGGCUGAGUAUUAGGCAAAUCCGGUACUCAUUAAGGCUGAGCUGUGAUGGGGAGAAGACAUUGUGUCUUCGAGUCGUUGAUUUCACACUGCCGAGAAAAGCCUCUAGAUAGAAAAUAGGUGCCCGUACCGCAAACCGACACAGGUAGUCAAGAUGAGAAUUCUAAGGUGAGCGAGCGAACUCUCGUUAAGGAACUCGGCAAAAUGACCCCGUAACUUCGGGAGAAGGGGUGCUCUUUAGGGUUAACGCCCAGAAGAGCCGCAGUGAAUAGGCCCAAGCGACUGUUUAUCAAAAACACAGGUCUCUGCUAAACCGUAAGGUGAUGUAUAGGGGCUGACGCCUGCCCGGUGCUGGAAGGUUAAGAGGAGUGGUUAGCUUCUGCGAAGCUACGAAUCGAAGCCCCAGUAAACGGCGGCCGUAACUAUAACGGUCCUAAGGUAGCGAAAUUCCUUGUCGGGUAAGUUCCGACCCGCACGAAAGGCGUAACGAUUUGGGCACUGUCUCAACGAGAGACUCGGUGAAAUCAUAGUACCUGUGAAGAUGCAGGUUACCCGCGACAGGACGGAAAG
rnacentral:rRNA from 1 species